GUGCGCAGGCGCGUUACGUCGCGUCGCGAAUCGAUGAAGGCCGCUCGCACAGGCGCAGUUCUGACGGCUGUCGGUGAGCACCUGCGGGCGUACAUCUCCGCCAGGAAUGAGAGUUGGCAAUUGGGACAAGUGCUAAGAAGAGCAAUAUGGCCGCUCCUCCCUUCAUAGAAGUCUUUUGGAUCCAGCCUCCCAAAGUCCCCAAGAUAUACACAGACUGUCAUGCUGGGCAACAGGAGUAGUUUCAUAGACUGGUAACACUACCCAGGUUCCAGACUUCCAGUGAGCAGCCUUGGGAGACGAACUACCAGAUCUCUGGUCUAUGGUUGCAAACAACACAAUCUAGUGUUACUAUACGUGCAUAUUUAACUAGUUUGGAAAAUUAAGGCAUUACUAAGAUACAAAGUUAAAACUUAAAAUAUGACCCAACUGGCUGGGCACCGUGCCUCACACCUGUAAUCCCAGCACUUUGGAAGGCUGAGGCAGGAGAAUUGCUUAAAACCAGGAGGUGGAGAUUGCAGUGAGCUGAGAUAGAGCCACUGCACUGCAGCCUGGACAACAGAGCAACACUCAUCUCAAAAAAUAAAAUAAAGUAAAAUAUA